UACGUAGGGGGCUAGCGUUGUCCGGAAUCAUUGGGCGUAAAGCGCGCGUAGGCGGCCCGGUAAGUCCGCUGUGAAAGUCAAAGGCUCAACCUUUGAAUGUCAGCGGAUACUGCCGGGCUAGAGUCCGGAAGAGGCGAGUGGAAUUCCUGGUGUAGCGGUGAAAUGCGCAGAUAUCGGGAGGAACACCAGUAGCGAAGGCGGCUCGCUGGGCCGUUCCUGACGCUGAGACGCGAAAGCUAGGGGAGCGAACAGG
rnacentral:rRNA from 1 species